UAGCUCAGUGGUAGAGCGCUUGCCUAGCAAGCGCAAGGCCCUGGGUUCGGUUCCCAG
rfam:Rattus norvegicus chromosome 7, whole genome shotgun sequence.